GACGUAGGGCGCGAGCGUUGUCCGGAUUUAUUGGGCGUAAAGAGCUCGUAGGCGGUGUGUCGCGUCGGCCGUGAAAACCUGCAGCUUAACUGUGGGCUUGCGGUCGAUACGGGCAUCACUGGAGUUCGGCAGGGGAGACUGGAAUUCCUGGUGUAGCGGUGAAAUGCGCAGAUAUCAGGAGGAACACCGGUGGCGAAGGCGGGUCUCUGGGCCGUAACUGACGCUGAGGAGCGAAAGCGUGGGGAGCGAACAGG
rnacentral:rRNA from 1 species